GCUGUGGUCGGGUGCAUCAUUUUAUGCAUUUUCCUUUCCCCUAUUUUUCUCCCACACCAGGUUGCUCGUGUGCCGCUUGUCUCCUUUUCCUCUGCAUUGUCAAACAAACCUCCUCAAGAUCACAAGAACGACAAUGCACGACAACCAAAAGCCCAUGCUGCCACAUCUCUUGCACCAGAAGCCGUUAUGACCGAGCAACCCACUACAUUCUCUAUGGCCAAACAACCUCCUAGGACAAACCACCUAAGCAAGGCUCAAUGACAAAACAAAGAAAAUCACCUAACCCAUUCACAUUAAUGUCACUGCCGAGCCCCUUGGACAUCACUCCACCAUGUUGCCUAUCCACCGUAAAUGCACAUCUCCUAUUCUUCUCCCACGAUCACAUUGCCCAUGUGUUGUAGACGCAUGUCUUCUCUCCCCUGUCCGUCCAUUCCGAUGAGUUUGUCUUGGUUUCCUCACCUUCGGGCAGUUGUUUUUGCGGGGCUGCUCAUGAGUUACCCUCUCAAGAGGAUUAAGGGCCCAUGACAAAUGAUUUUUGUUGAAGAGGUAUGUUGAUUUCUUCAACAGCUUGAAUGCUGCUUAGUUCGAUGAAACCUAUGAGCUAUUGUGAGGUUGGUUAUUAGAGCACUUUGUCCAUUUGGAUUGAAAUAGGUAUGUUUGUUUCGUUAUAUCAGUUCAAUUCUUGGUUGUUUUGUGGAACCUGAUUUUGUCGGUGUUGUGGUUGAUGUGGGUUUUAUUGGUGCCAAAUCUAGCGAAUCAUCUUUGGUCAAUAUUUCCAAUGCAGCUCCCUGGCCUCUCUUCUAGGACAUUACUAAGAUUACGAGUCCACUUAAGAGGAAGCAUUGUGUACAUAGCUAUGGCUUUGAUUUUCUAAAGGAUGGCAUCAGCAGGAUUCCUGACUAUUAUUAGCCAUGACCAUGGUCAUGGACUUUGAGACUAGUGCUAGUGAUCAGGUCAUUCAAAGAAGAAGGUUAUUGUGGAGAUAGAAGCUGGACAAAAAACCACUACAGAGUGCUUUAGUUCCCUUCAUCCCAAAAAGAACUACAGCGUUAUCGAGGUCAUGUUAAAAAGAAUGAAUAUGGGAGAUAAUAGUCACUGAAUAUCAUCUUGAGCCAAAGUUUCCACAGCCACAACGUUUAUUUCAUUCGUCGAUGAUGCUCUCUAGCCUCGGUUGCCAAAGUACAGAAAACAAUCAUCGCCUAAGAGAGCCUCCUGUGCCAUUUGCUAUCAAAUCUUGUGUCCUUUUCUAGUUAGUGUAUUGGUGUCACAAAAUCCAGUUUCUUUCAGAAAAUUAUCUAUUUGUUUCUUUUCCUUCUUUCUUUCUUUUUUCUUUUUAACAAUCAUCGAGUUUUUCUUUCAUUUUGACUCCAGUAAACGAGUCAGGAAAGUAAUUAUCAACAUGAAAACAAUCACUCUUUCUGAUUUGUGAUCUCUCCCUUUUGUUUCUUGCAUGUUUGUUGCUGCCAUGUUUUUUGGGAAUUUUAUUCCUAAAGAUGCAAGAAAAGAUCAUACCAUUCAAUGACACUAACGCUAUCAGCAUUGGAAACAUUGAUCAAUAGUCACUUGAACACAAGCAUGUCAUGGGAAGCAAGAGUAUAAUAUGCAUUGUAUUGGAAUUCGUAACUGGUGGAGAGCUCUUUGACAAAAUUGAGUAAACAAGUCUAUGUUAGUCCCAUUCAUUUAAUAGUUGUCUUUUGUUUUUUAUUUUCU